UACGUAGGAUCCAAGCGUUGUCCGGAUUUACUGGGCGUAAAGCGUGCGCAGGCGGCUUUGCAAGACAGAUGUGAAAUCCCCGGGCUCAACCUGGGAACUGCAUCUGUGACUGCAUGGCUAGAGUGCGGCAGAGGGGGAUGGAAUUCCGCGUGUAGCAGUGAAAUGCGUAGAUAUGCGGAGGAACACCGAUGGCGAAGGCAAUCCCCUGGGCCUGCACUGACGCUCAUGCACGAAAGCGUGGGGAGCAAACAGG
rnacentral:rRNA from 1 species